UGGCGCGUAGCUCAGCGGUAAGAGCGGUGUCCUUAUAAGACGUGAGCCGUGGGUUCGACUCCCGCCGCGCCGAC
rnacentral:tRNA from 1 species